rnacentral:rRNA from 1 species
UUAAGCGACUAAGCGUACACGGUGGAUGCCCUGGCAGUCAGAGGCGAUGAAGGACGUGCUAAUCUGCGAAAAGCGCCGGCGAGGUGAUAUGAACCUUUGACCCGGCGAUGUCCGAAUGGGGAAACCCAGUGUGUUCCGACACACUAUCGUUAACUGAAUACAUAGGUUAACGAGGCGAACCGGGGGAACUGAAACAUCUAAGUACCCCGAGGAAAAGAAAUCAACCGAGAUUCCCCCAGUAGCGGCGAGCGAACGGGGAGCAGCCCAGAGUCUGAAUCAGCUUGUGUGUUAGUGGAAGCGUCUGGAAAGUCGCACGGUACAGGGUGACAGUCCCGUACACGAAAGCACACAGGUUGUGAACUCGAAGAGUAGGGCGGGACACGUGGUAUCCUGUCUGAAUAUGGGGGGACCAUCCUCCAAGGCUAAAUACUCCUGACUGACCGAUAGUGAACCAGUACCGUGAGGGAAAGGCGAAAAGAACCCCGGCGAGGGGAGUGAAAAAGAACCUGAAACCGUGUACGUACAAGCAGUGGGAGCCUCUUUUAUGGGGUGACUGCGUACCUUUUGUAUAAUGGGUCAGCGACUUAUAUUCUGUAGCAAGGUUAACCGUAUAGGGGAGCCGAAGGGAAACCGAGUCUUAACUGGGCGUUAAGUUGCAGGGUAUAGACCCGAAACCCGGUGAUCUAGCCAUGGGCAGGUUGAAGGUUGGGUAACACUAACUGGAGGACCGAACCGACUAAUGUUGAAAAAUUAGCGGAUGACUUGUGGCUGGGGGUGAAAGGCCAAUCAAACCGGGAGAUAGCUGGUUCUCCCCGAAAGCUAUUUAGGUAGCGCCUCGUGAACUCAUCUUCGGGGGUAGAGCACUGUUUCGGCUAGGGGGCCAUCCCGGCUUACCAACCCGAUGCAAACUACGAAUACCGAAGAAUGUUAUCACGGGAGACACACGGCGGGUGCUAACGUCCGUCGUGAAGAGGGAAACAACCCAGACCGCCAGCUAAGGUCCCAAAGUCAUGGUUAAGUGGGAAACGAUGUGGGAAGGCACAGACAGCCAGGAUGUUGGCUUAGAAGCAGCCAUCAUUUAAAGAAAGCGUAAUAGCUCACUGGUCGAGUCGGCCUGCGCGGAAGAUGUAACGGGGCUAAACCAUGCACCGAAGCUGCGGCAGCGACGCUUAUGCGUUGUUGGGUAGGGGAGCGUUCUGUAAGCCGUUGAAGGUGUCCUGUGAGGGGUGCUGGAGGUAUCAGAAGUGCGAAUGCUGACAUAAGUAACGAUAAAGCGGGUGAAAAGCCCGCUCGCCGGAAGACCAAGGGUUCCUGUCCAACGUUAAUCGGGGCAGGGUGAGUCGACCCCUAAGGCGAGGCCGAAAGGCGUAGUCGAUGGGAAACAGGUUAAUAUUCCUGUACUUGGUGUUACUGCGAAGGGGGGACGGAGAAGGCUAUGUUAGCCGGGCGACGGUUGUCCCGGUUUAAGCAUGUAGGCGGAACGAUUAGGUAAAUCCGGUCGUUUAUUAACGCUGAGGUGUGAUGACGAGGCACUACGGUGCUGAAGUAACAAAUGCCCUGCUUCCAGGAAAAGCCUCUAAGCAUCAGGUAACAUCAAAUCGUACCCCAAACCGACACAGGUGGUCAGGUAGAGAAUACCAAGGCGCUUGAGAGAACUCGGGUGAAGGAACUAGGCAAAAUGGUGCCGUAACUUCGGGAGAAGGCACGCUGAUAUGUAGGUGAAGCCCCUGCGGGUGGAGCUGAAAUCAGUCGAAGAUACCAGCUGGCUGCAACUGUUUAUUAAAAACACAGCACUGUGCAAACACGAAAGUGGACGUAUACGGUGUGACGCCUGCCCGGUGCCGGAAGGUUAAUUGAUGGGGUUAGCGGCAACGCGAAGCUCUUGAUCGAAGCCCCGGUAAACGGCGGCCGUAACUAUAACGGUCCUAAGGUAGCGAAAUUCCUUGUCGGGUAAGUUCCGACCUGCACGAAUGGCGUAAUGAUGGCCAGGCUGUCUCCACCCGAGACUCAGUGAAAUUGAACUCGCUGUGAAGAUGCAGUGUACCCGCGGCAAGACGGAAAGACCCCGUGAACCUUUACUAUAGCUUGACACUGAACACUGGUCCUUGAUGUGUAGGAUAGGUGGGAGGCUUUGAAGCGUGGACGCCAGUCUGCGUGGAGCCAACCUUGAAAUACCACCCUUUAAUGGCUGGUGUUCUAACGUAGACCCGUGAUCCGGGUUGCGGACAGUGUCUGGUGGGUAGUUUGACUGGGGCGGUCUCCUCCCAAAGAGUAACGGAGGAGCACGAAGGUUAGCUAAUCCUGGUCGGACAUCAGGAGGUUAGUGCAAUGGCAUAAGCUAGCUUGACUGCGAGAGUGACGGCUCGAGCAGGUGCGAAAGCAGGUCAUAGUGAUCCGGUGGUUCUGAAUGGAAGGGCCAUCGCUCAACGGAUAAAAGGUACUCCGGGGAUAACAGGCUGAUACCGCCCAAGAGUUCAUAUCGACGGCGGUGUUUGGCACCUCGAUGUCGGCUCAUCACAUCCUGGGGCUGAAGUAGGUCCCAAGGGUAUGGCUGUUCGCCAUUUAAAGUGGUACGCGAGCUGGGUUUAGAACGUCGUGAGACAGUUCGGUCCCUAUCUGCCGUGGGCGCUGGAGAAUUGAGGGGGGCUGCUCCUAGUACGAGAGGACCGGAGUGGACGCAUCACUGGUGUUCGGGUUGUCAUGCCAAUGGCACUGCCCGGUAGCUAAAUGCGGAAGAGAUAAGUGCUGAAAGCAUCUAAGCACGAAACUUGCCCCGAGAUGAGUUCUCCCUGAGACUUUAAGUCUCCUGAAGGAACGUUGAAGACUACGACGUUGAUAGGUCGGGUGUGUAAGCGCAGCGAUGCGUUGAGCUAACCGAUACUAAUGAACCGUGAGGCUUAACCUU